CUGUGCUGCAGGAGAGUCCCUGAGCUGUCCUCGGUUGCUGAGGCACUCGGGCCUCCCAGCUGCAGGAGCUGCCUGAUGUCAUCCUGGGCCGGUGGGGGCUGUGGGAAGGAGCUGUGAUGGAGCCCAGUUAUGGACACCAGGACAGAAAACGCUUUGAAAUAGGCCAAACACGUGGGGCUUGUUGUAGCAGGUGUUCUCACAAUCUGUGAAGAGCUGCAAACUCCAGAACUGAGGUUUCUCAAGUGCUCUUUCCUGCCCUGUGAAGUUCUGACUCAAAGCGCUUGGAAAUUGUGCCGUUGUACUUACUGGGCAAAAUACAAAGGAAAUUAAUUGAAUAAAUAAAUAGAAGCUGUGCCUCUGAA